rnacentral:rRNA from 1 species
CCUACGGGUGGCAGCAGUGGGGAAUAUUGGGCAAUGGGCGCGAGCCUGAACCAGCCAAGUCGCGUGAGGGAAGACGGCCCUACGGGUUGUAAACCUCUUUUGCCGGGGAGCAACGGUCGCCACGUGUGUCCCCACUGAAAAUACCCGGAGUAAAUGCAUCGGCGAACUCCGGGACAGCAGCCGCGGUAAUACGGAGGAUGCGAUCGUUAUCCGGAUUGAUUGGGUUUAAGGGGUGCGUAGGCGGAGCGUUAAGUCAGGGGUCAAAUUGAGGGGCUCAACCCCUGCCCGCCACCGAUACCGGCGCUCUUGAGUGGAAGAGAAGAAUGCGGAAUGCGUGGUGUAGCGGUGAAAUGCACAGAUA